AUUGAACGCUGGCGGCAGGCCUACCACAUGCAAGUCGAGCGAGCGGCGGACGGGUGAGUAAUGUAUGGGGACUGCCCGAUAGAGGGGUAUAACUACUGGAAACGGUAGCUAAUACCGCAUACUAUCGGAUAACCCAUAUGGGAUUGGCUAGUAGGUGAGGUAAUGGCUCACCUAGGCGACGAUCCCUAGCUGGUCUGAGAGGAUGAUCAGCCACACUGGGACUGAGACACGGCCCAGACUCCGACGGAGGCAGCAGUGGUGAAUAUUGCACAAUGGGCGCAAUCCGUAGGCAGCCAUGCCGCGGGGAUGAAGAAGGCCCUAGGGUUGUAAAGUACGUGCAGUCGGGAGGCGUUACCGACAGAAGAAGCACCGGCUAACUCCGGGCUAGCCGCCGCGGUAAUUC
rnacentral:rRNA from 1 species